rnacentral:rRNA from 1 species
UACGUAGGGGGCAAGCGUUGUCCGGAAUUAUUGGGCGUAAAGGGCUCGUAGGCGGUUUCUUAAGUCUGAUGUGAAAGCCCACAGCUCAACUGUGGAGGGUCAUUGGAAACUGGGGAACUUGAGUGCAGAAGAGGAGAGUGGAAUUCCACGUGUAGCGGUGAAAUGCGUAGAUAUGUGGAGGAACACCAGUGGCGAAGGCGGACGUCUCUGGUCUGUAACUGACGCUGAGGAGCGAAAGCGUGGGGAGCAAACAGG